UCUUUUCGAGCUGGGGAAUUAGCUCAAAUGGUAGAGCGCUCGCUUAGCAUGUGAGAGGUAGCGGGAUCGACGCCCGCAUUCUCCACGGUUGAAUUUUAUAAAGAUCGAGGGGUCGCCCGUCGGGGAUGGUCACUUUGUUCUCAAAGGCGGCGACAGUACCGGGAGUUACAGGGGCAAAAUGAGGGGCCAGGUGUCCCAAUUUGUGCGCCCAGUUCCGUGAGGGAGGCGAAGUGCGGAAAAGCGGGGGUCUUUCUUUUGCCUCGCGGAAGGAUUUACGCAGGAGCUUCUUAGAAUCUAGCGGGCACUUGGUCUGUGCCCAGCCUGCGGGGGUGCGCAGGGAGCAGACGGUCCCGGCUUUGACGUCUGUGGGAGACGUCAGACUCCACCUGGGCAACACCAGGUUUUGGUGUUUUGGCCGCGAGGCACGUGGUAUCUUAGCUCCCUGAGCUAAGGGAUCGAACCCGCACCCCCUGCAGAGGAAGGUGAAGUCUUAACCACUGGACCACCGGGGAAGUUCCCCCGCCCCCCCACCCCACCCCAGCACUGUCCUGACGGGCAGCAGCGGCCCUGGGCCGGCACGCACAGGUCAGACAGUAGCAAGGACCAGCCAGGAACAGCCCAAAGCCCAGGUAUGUAACCUGCAGAGCCCAAUGCGAAAUGAAAAUGCAGGGCCUCGGUCUUCAAAAUUAUUUAGAAUUUCGGGACGGCAACAGCAGGGCAUGAAAUCAAACAUCAGGUCGUGCACGAGUCAGGCAUCCACGGAGCUGACCCGCCCGCAGGCCUCUGCCCAGAGGUCUCACCCCCUCCCUGUGGGAGCCUGAUGGCAAGACGCCCAUGCCCAGGACAAGUGCACGACUCCGACAGCUGUCCAGGGAGGGCCAGAGGUCAGCGUUCACUCCGUGGGGACACUCAGCUCCAACACACACGGCAUGAAAGAAUGGCAAUGAUGUUUUAAAAAAUUAGGUUUAUAAAUAUUUUCUCCAUUGUACAAAGUUUUCCCCACCCUGCCCACCCCCCAUCACUGUUCACAUUUCUCAUGUUUUUAAAAUCCCAACUAUAUUUAUUUUUUAAAUCAUAAAAUAUAAUUUUUUCUUUGUU